GGGGAUGUGGCUCGGUGGUAGAGUGUUCUUCUGGCAUAUGUGAGGCCCCAGGUUCAAGGCCUAGCAUUUUGG
rnacentral:tRNA from 1 species